UACGUAAGGGGGAAGCGUUGUCCGGAAUCACUGGGCGUAAAGCGCGCGUAGGCGGUUUGGUAAGUCGGGUGUGAAAUCCCCGGGCUCAACCCGGGAACUGCGCCCGAAACUGCCUCACUGGAGGGACGGAGAGGUGCACGGAAUUCCCGGUGUAGGGGUGAAAUCCAUAGAGAUCGGGAGGAACACCAAUGGCGAAGGCAGUGCACUGGACGUUUCCUGACGCUGAGGUGCGAAAGCGUGGGUAGCGAACGGG
rnacentral:rRNA from 1 species